rnacentral:tRNA from 1 species
GCGGAAGUGGCGGAACGGCAGACGCGCACGGCUUAGGACCGUGUGCCGAAAGGCGUGGGGGUUCGAAUCCCCCCUUCCGCACCA